rnacentral:lncRNA from 1 species
AGAAAAUUAGACAGUGAGAGAAAUAAAACGUAGAUAUAAAUAUAUAUAUAUAUAUAUAUUUCCUUUCUAUAUGAAAGAAAUUAAAAAAACCGAGGAGCUAAAGAAAAUGAUCACCAAAUUUAAAGAAAAAAAAAAAAUCUUUUCCCGCUCUGUACUAUUUUCUUUUCUUGUUCAUCAAGAAUGCCCCAAGAAACAUGGUUUCUUUUUUUAUCUUUUUACCAGUGUAAUUACAUAAUUAACAAAAAAAAGGAGAAAAAAAAAAUGGGAAUGGGUAUAUUUUUUCUUUUCUUUUUCUCUUUUGGCUUUUGGGUCAAGGCGGCGCUGGGAAAUUUCUGCUUACAUGACGGUGGAGUGGUGGUGGCGCCGCCUGUUUCUUGAGAGACAGAAAACGGGAGUUGGACGGAGAGAAAAUGUAAUGGUC